UGAGGGCAGAGACAUUAACAAUCUUCCCAGCUUUCACGAAGUCAUCGUACUCCUCAAGUUUAUUGACAAUGGCGUCGAACGAGCAUCCAGUCAUGCGGAAAAUUUCUUCAAAAUACGGGGGAUCAUGUGCUUUAAUGAAAGUGCGUAUGAUUUCGUCCUCAGUCAUCGGUGGCUCGACUUUGGCAGCUAUUUUCCUCCACCUCUUGGCAUAAGUCUUGUGAUCCUCGGAGGGUUUUCUUUUUGUUCCUUCCAACGUGGUUCGUGUCGGAGCCAGCUCGCAGUUAUACUCGUAUUGCUUUACAAAAGCAUUGGACAAGUCAAUCCAGGUUUUUACUUCUUCGGGCUUCAAAUUUGAGUACCAGUCGAGGGCAUCCCCCUCCAGACUUUCCGGGAACAACCUUAGAGGCAGGUUCUCGUCGUCUACAGGCUUUCCUAACUUGUUAGCAAAUAGUCGGAGGUGUGUCUUGGGAUUACCCGUCCCAUCGUACUUGUUAAACUUAGGGGUUUUGAACCC
rnacentral:lncRNA from 1 species